rnacentral:rRNA from 1 species
UGGGGAAUUUUGGACAAUGGGGGAAACCCUGAUCCAGCCAUGCCGCGUGCGGGAAGAAGGCCUUCGGGUUGUAAACCGCUUUUGGCAGGAACGAAACGGCGCGCGCUAACACCGCGCGCUAAUGACGGUACCUGCAGAAUAAGCACCGGCUAACUACGUGCCAGCAGCCGCGGUAAUACGUAGGGUGCAAGCGUUAAUCGGAAUUACUGGGCGUAAAGCGUACGCAGGCGGCUAUGUAAGACAGGCGUGAAAUCCCCGGGCCCAACCUGGGAACUGCGCUUGUGACUGCAUAGCUAGAGUCCGUAAGAGGGGGGUGGAAUUCCACGUGUAGCAGUGAAAUGCGUAGAGAUGUGGAGGAACACCGAUGGCGAAGGCAGCCCCCUGGGAUGAGACUGACGCUCAUGUACGAAAGCGUGGGGAGCAAACAGG